rnacentral:lncRNA from 1 species
UCCCGCCCUUCGUCUCGGUCACGUGCCCGGGAGGACGCUCCGGCCGCCGGCGCUGUGAGGACUCUAUGGCCUAGCGCCGCCCGCCGCCGCCGGUGUUUACAGCGGCCCCGGCCCCUUCCCGGAGCGGGCAGCGGCCGCCCCUCGCCGCCAUGGCGCAGGCCCGGGGGGUAAACAGCCUCCGCUUCAACCAG